rnacentral:pre_miRNA from 1 species
UACAAUUUUUGACUCUUCAUCUUAUUCAAAUUUUUUUUGCGAAUUGAUAUUUUUGUUUUUAUUAGAUGAUAAAUCAUGAAUAAUACUUUACAUGUAACUAAUUUUUUUCUAAUUUCCUAAAAAAAUUUUAAAUAAAAUGAAUGGUCAAACGUUGAACACGGAAACCGAAG